UUGGAGGGCAAGUCUGGUGCCAGCAGCCGCGGUAAUUCCAGCUCCAAUAGCGUAUAUUAAAGUUGUUGCAGUUAAAAAGCUCGUAGUUGAAUUUCGGGAUCAGAGUGUCGGUCGUGCCUCGGUACGCACUGGUAUUAUUGGUUCCUACCUUCUGAAGAAUCGCGAUGUCAUUAAUUUGGUGUCGUGGGGAAUCAGGACUGUUACUUUGAAAAAAUUAGAGUGUUUAAAGCAGGCUUACGCUUGAAUACAUUAGCAUGGAAUAAUGAAAUAGGACGUUUGAUUCUAUUUUGUUGGUUUCUAGGAUUGACGUAAUGAUUAAUAGGGAUAGUUGGGGGCAUUAGUAUUCAAUUGUCAGAGGUGAAAUUCUUGGAUUUAUUGAAGACUAACUACUGCGAAAGCAUUCGCCAAGGAUGUUUUCAUUAAUCAAGAACGAAAGUUAGGGGAUCGAAGACGAUCAGAUACCGUCGUAGUCUUAACCAUAAACUAUGCCGACUAGGGAUCGGAUGAUGUUAAUUUUUUAAUGACUCAUUCGGCGCCUUACGGGAAACCAAAGUGUUUGGGUUC
rnacentral:rRNA from 1 species